GAUGAACGCUGGCGGCGUGCCUAAUACAUGCCCGUCGAGCGAACGGACGAUAAGCUUGCUUCUCUGAUGUUAGCGGCGGACGUGUGAGUAACACGUGGAUAACCUACCUAUAAUACUGGGAUAACUUCGGGAAACCGGAUCUAAUACCGGAUAAUAUUUUGAUCCGCAUGGUUCAAAAGUGAAAGACGGUCUUUCUGUCACUUAUAGAUGGAUCCGCGCUGCAUUAGCUAGUUGGUAAGGUAACGGCUUACCAAGGCAACGAUGCAUAGCCGACCUGAGAGGGGGAUAGGCCAAAGGGGAAGUGAGACACGGACAAGAGGCCUACGGGAGGAAGCAGAAGGGAAUAUUCGGCAAUGGGCGAAAGGCUGACGGAGCAACGCCGAGUGAGUGAUGAAGGUCUUCGGAGCGGAAAACUCUGUUAUUAGGGAAGAACAUAUGUGGAAGGAAAUGUGCAGAUAGUGACGGUACCGAAUCAGAAAGCAACGGCUAACUACGUG
rnacentral:rRNA from 1 species